CCUCAAGUGGUCAGGAUGAUUAUUGGGCCUAAAGCAUCCGUAGCCUGUUCUGUAAGUUUUCGGUUAAAUCCAUAAGCUCAACUUAUGGGCUGCCGAAAAUACUGCAGGACUAGGGAGUGGGAGAGGUAGACGGUACUCGGUAGGAAGGGGUAAAAUCCUUUGAUCUAUUGAUGACCACCUGUGGCGAAGGCGGUCUACCAGAACACGUUCGACGGUGAGGGAUGAAAGCUGGGGGAGCAAACCGGAUUAGAUACCCGGGUAGUCCCAGCUGUAAACGAUGCAAACUCGAUGAUGCGUUGGCUUGUUGCUAGCGCAGUGUCGCAGGGAAGCCGUUAAGUUUGCCGCCUGGGAAGUACGUACGCAAGUAUGAAACUUAAAGGAAUUGGCGGGGGAGCACCACAAGGGGUGAAGC
rnacentral:rRNA from 1 species